CCCGACCGGUAUCGGGGUGGGGCUAAGCCAUGCAAGUCGUACGUCCUCCAGCCACGUGGGGGGCGUGGCGCACGGCUCAGUAGUACGCAGCUAACCUACCCUAAGGAGGGGGAUAAUCCCGGGAAACUGGGGCUAAUCCCUCAUAGACCUGGGGCACUGGAAGGUCCCUAGGUUGAAACGGGUGAGCUGGCAUGCCGGUUCACCUGCCUUAGGAUGGGGCUGCGUCCGAUCAGGUAGUUGGUGGGGUAAUGGCCCACCAAGCCUAUGACCGGUGCGGGCUCUGAGAGGAGGAGCCCGGAGAUGGACCCUGAGACAAGGGUCCAGGCCCUACGGGGCGCAGCAGGCGCGAAACCUUCGCAAUGCCCGAAAGGGUGACGAGGCUACCCCGAGUGUCGUCCGCUAAGGACGGCUUUUGUCGGGUCUAAAAAGCCCGACGAAUAAGGGGAGGGCAAGUCUGGUGUCAGCCGCCGCGGUAAUACCAGCUCCCCGACUGGUCGGGACGAUUAUUGGGUCUAAAGCGUCCGUAGCCGGCCCUGUAUGUGAUCCGUUAAAUCCAGCGGCUCAACCGCUGGGCUGCGGAUCAUACUAUGGGGCUAGGGGACGGGAGAGGCCGGAGGUACUCAGCGGGUAGGGGUAAAAUCCGCUGAUCCGCGGAAGACCAACAGUGGCGAAGGCGUCCGGCCAGAACGCGCCCGACGGUGAGGGACGAAAGCCAGGGGAGCGAACCGGAUUAGAUACCCGGGUAGUCCUGGCCGUAAACGAUGCCCGCUAGGUCUUGGUGAAGCUUAGGGUUUCAUCAGGGCCGCAGGGAAGCCGUUAAGCGGGCCACCUGGGGAGUACGGCCGCAAGGCUGAAACUUAAAGGAAUUGGCGGGGGAGCACCACAAGGGGUGAAGCCUGCG
rnacentral:rRNA from 1 species